UAUCAUUAAAGUGCUUUGCUUUGAGCUGAGUUCAUUGCGGUGCAAUUCAUUUUUUGUGAAAUAAAGAUUUGACGUACAACUCUCAUGUACAAGGAUUUGUCAAAGUAGUAUUCAUUCUAUGUACAAUGUACUAGUAUGUAAUAGGGAGAUAAAAAAAAAGCAUUUUAUUUCGAUUUGAACCAAACAUUAUGUGUCUAUUGAUCAAAUUGAAGAAAAAAAACCGGACAAUGCUACUCCCCCUUCACGCAAUAUUAUGCUAGGUUGUUUUAAUACAUCUGUAUUGCCUACUAAAGACUAGGACCUGAGUGUAAAUGGUCAUUCAAUUAUGUGAAGAAGAACAAAUUUAGGCCUAUCUGGCCUAAUUGAUUUCUAAAACUAUUAUAUUUCAUUGUACCUGUUCAACAUUUUUUCAUUUAUUCGUUUAUUUCUUAAUUUGUGUGAAUUAACAUAUGUUUGGAUUGGGAAAAAGUUUUUGCAACUUAUAUUAAUCCCUUUCCACUUUGCGGGUGAGAGUGCUGCCUUGUAGCGGCAUUAGCCUACUCUUUUUCGAAAUCUACAAGGGUGUCUUUAACGUGCAAGAGAUAUGGCUCUCUCUUAUCACGGGUCAGCCAUUUAUCGUCCCCUUGCGACGGACUAUCAUCGUUUCCUUAAGACCAUACUCGCAAAUGGUGUCAAGGGAGAGCAGAAAAUUGAGUCCCUGAAAUUGUCAUCCCGAACGGGAAUCGAACCAGGAACCUUUGUGUUAGUAGUUCGAUGAUCUAACCACUACACCACGGCUCUCACUAACAUUGUUACAGUAAAUGUUAAUUACUACACUUUCAUACCACAACAAAUACUGUAAUGGUAUCACUUAUAUUUGUGUCCAUAUAUUAUAACCAAAAAAAUAAAAAGAGAAUAAUUUUGCACUACCAUUUUUGUAUUGAAUAUUAUAACUUUUUAGAUAUCUAGACACAUUAACUAGAUGCUCAUAAUAUCCACCUUACAUGCUUGAAUUCUACCAGAUUACUCUAAGAACAGUUAUGAGUCUUUGAAGCAUGCUGACAAAGGAUCUUUUCACGAUAUCAUUUUCACAUUAGUAAAAACUCUUUUUUGCUUUGACAAGCUUUGGAGGAAAUAUUAUCAAAGAAUUGAAGAAAAAACCACAACACAUAAGUUCUCUUUCUAGCUCAUCUAGCCCCAAGCAUCAUGUCAGGCAUUUUCAUUACUAACAAAAACAAUUCGACAUUUUGACAAAAAGUUUUACUAAUGAUACUGACGAUCCACCAUAAAGUAAUAUACAUAGAUCCAUACAAAUAGUAAGCAAAUACAUAUGAAAAAGAUGUGGUAUGAUUGCCAAUGAGACCAAAAUGACACAGAAAUUAAAACAACUACAGUACGACCUUCAACAAUGAGCAAAGCCCAUACCGCAUAGUCAGAUAUUAAAGGCCCCGAAAUGACAAUGUAGAACAAUUCAAACGAGAAAACUGACGGCCUUAUUUAUGUACAAAAAAUAAACGAAAAACAAAUCCACACUCAUCUGUGUCCACAC
rnacentral:lncRNA from 1 species